UCUCUUUCUCCCUUCUCCAUCUCUAGCAGCUGCCCCUCCCUCUCUUCCAUCUAUUUUUCCAGUGAAGCCCUCCGGAGGCGGUCACUUUCCUCUCCCCGGCGCCUCUCUCCUCUCGCCUUCCUCUCCGCCCCUCUCUUCUCCCUCCCUCUUCUCUAAUUUUCAUGACCGACAGGAACCCCGCAGCCAGCAGCCACCGGCGAGGCAGUGCCACCCCCUCGCUCUCCUUUUCUCCUUUUUCCAGAGAAAGCAGCAAGAAGCUGCAGCAACCAGCGAGAGCCGCUCUCUUCCUGUCUCUCCUCGCCUCUUUUUUCUCUUCUCUCUUCCCUUCUUUCCCGCCUUCUUUUCUCCAUUGCUGGCAGCGCUCAGGCGAGCUUCCAAGCAGCAGCAAACGGCAGGCACCGGCAGCAACGAUCAACGCUUCCCACCGGCCAGCAGCUCCGGCAAAAUCUGCAACUCAGCGAUGACAACAGCCCGACGAGAACUUCAACAUCGAGCAGCAGCAACAAUGAGCAUCUCCAGCGAGGCUUGAAAUUAUGGUAACUUGCGAGACAUGUCUCAACAGAUCCGUUCAGUUAUUUGAUUGCUUUGAGAGGUUUCAAACUUGAAGUUCAAGUUGAAGAUUAACCCUGAAGAAAAAUUUAUUUGCUUAUUUGAAUCUAUAUUUUUUCU